rnacentral:hammerhead_ribozyme from 1 species
GCACUGCUGAGGAGUCCCACAAUAGGACAAAACGGCCUUUCAGUGC